UUGACCUCGAUCAGGUAGGUUGCCCCC
rnacentral:rRNA from 1 species